rnacentral:rRNA from 1 species
GAUGAACGCUGGCGGCGUGCCUAACACAUGCAAGUCGAGCGAAGCGCUUAAAUUAGAUUUCUUCGGAAUGACGAGUUUUGUGACUGAGCGGCGGACGGGUGAGUAACGCGUGGGUAACCUGCCUCAUACAGGGGGAUAACAGUUAGAAAUGACUGCUAAUACCGCAUAAGACCCCAGCUUCGCAUGAAGCGGUGGUAAAAACUCCGGUGGUAUGAGAUGGACCCGCGUCUGAUUAGCUAGUUGGUAAGGUAACGGCUUACCAAGGCGACGAUCAGUAGCCGACCUGAGAGGGUGACCGGACACAUUGGGACUGAGACACGGCCCAGACUCCUACGGGAGGCAGCAGUGGGGAAUAUUGCACAAUGGGGGAAACCCUGAUGCAGCGACGCCGCGUGAAGGAUGAAGUAUUUCGGUAUGUAAACUUCUAUCAGCAGGGAAGAAAGUGACGGUACCUGACGAAGAAGCCCCGGCUAACUACGUG